rnacentral:rRNA from 1 species
UACGUAGGGGGCAAGCGUUGUCCGGAUUUAUUGGGCGUAAAGAGCGUGUAGGCGGUCAGGUAGGUCCGUUGUGAAAACUCGAGGCUCAACCUCGAGACGCCGAUGGAAACCAUCUAACUAGAGUCCGGAAGAGGAGAGUGGAAUUCCUGGUGUAGCGGUGAAAUGCGCAGAUAUCAGGAAGAACACCCGUGGCUAAGGCGGCUCUCUAGUACGGUACUGACGCUGAGACGCGAAAGCGUGGGGAGCGAACAGG